GACGAACGCUGGCGGCGUGCUUAACACAUGCAAGUCGAACGGAAAGGCCCUGCUUUUGUGGGGUGCUCGAGUGGCGAACGGGGGAGUAACACGUGAGUAACCUGCCCUUGACUGUGGGAUAACUUCAGGAAACUGGGGCUAAUACCGGAUAGGAGCUCCUGCUGCAUGGUGGGGGUUGGAAAGUUUCGGCGGUUGGGGAUGGACUCGCGGCUUAUCAGCUUGUUGGUGGGGUAGUGGCUUACCAAGGCUUUGACGGGUAGCCGGCCUGAGAGGGUGACCGGCCACAUUGGGACUGCGAUACGGCCCAGACUCCUACGGGAGGCAGCAGUGGGGAAUAUUGCACAAUGGGCGGAAGCCUGAUGCAGCAACGCCGCGUGCGGGAUGACGGCCUUCGGGUUGUAAACCGCUUUCGCCUGUGACGAAGCGUGAGUGACGGUAAUGGGUAAAGAAGCACCGGCUAACUACGUG
rnacentral:rRNA from 1 species